UACGAAGGGGGCUAGCGUUGUUCGGAAUUACUGGGCGUAAAGCGCGUGUAGGCGGUUGCCCAAGUCGGGUGUGAAAGCCUUGAGCUCAACUCAAGAAAUGCACUCGGUACUGGGUGACUAGAGGACCGGAGAGGAUAGUGGAAUUCCCAGUGUAGUGGUGAAAUACGUAGAGAUUGGAAGAACACCAGUGGCGAAGGCGGCUAUCUGGACGGUUUCUGACGCUAAGACGCGAAAGCGUGGGAGCAAACAGG
rnacentral:rRNA from 1 species